AUUGAACGCUGGCGGCAUGCCUUACACAUGCAAGUCGAACGGGUAACAGGGAGCUUGCUCCGCUGACGAGUGGCGAACGGGUGAGUAAUGUAUCGGAACGUACCAUAGAGUGGGGGAUAACUAUCCGAAAGGAUAGCUAAUACCGCAUAUUCUCUCCGGAGGAAAGCAGGGGACCGCAAGGCCUUGCGCUCUUUGAGCGGCCGAUAUCAGAUUAGCUAGUUGGUGAGGUAAAGGCUCACCAAGGCGACGAUCUGUAGCGGGUCUGAGAGGAUGAUCCGCCACACUGGAACUGAGACACGGUCCAGACUCCUACGGGAGGCAGCAGUGGGGAAUUUUGGACAAUGGGGGCAACCCUGAUCCAGCCAUGCCGCGUGAGUGAAGAAGGCCUUCGGGUUGUAAAGCUCUUUCGGCCGGGAAGAAAUCGCACAGGCCAAUACCCUGUGUGGAUGACGGUACCGGAAUAAGAAGCACCGGCUAACUACGUG
rnacentral:rRNA from 1 species